rnacentral:tRNA from 1 species
AGGUGGGUGAGUGGCUUAAACCAGCGGUUUGCUAAACCGCCGUACGUGUAAAAAUGUACCCCCGGUUCGAAUCCGGGCCUCUCCGCAA